rnacentral:rRNA from 1 species
UGGGGAAUUUUGGACAAUGGGCGCAAGCCUGAUCCAGCCAUGUCGCGUGCGGGAAGAAGGCCUUCGGGUUGUAAACCGCUUUUGUCAGGGAAGAAAUCUUCUGAGUUAAUACCUCGGGAGGAUGACGGUACCUGAAGAAUAAGCACCGGCUAACUACGUGCCAGCAGCCGCGGUAAUACGUAGGGUGCAAGCGUUAAUCGGAAUUACUGGGCGUAAAGCGUGCGCAGGCGGUUUUGUAAGACAGAGGUGAAAUCCCCGGGCUCAACCUGGGAACUGCCUUUGUGACUGCAAGGCUUGAGUGCGGCAGAGGGGGAUGGAAUUCCGCGUGUAGCAGUGAAAUGCGUAGAUAUGCGGAGGAACACCGAUGGCGAAGGCAAUCCCCUGGGCCCGCACUGACGCUCAUGCACGAAAGCGUGGGGAGCAAAACAGGAUUAGAUACCCUGGUAGUCCACGCCCUAAACGAUGUCAAACUGGUUGUUGGGAAGGUUCCUUCUCAGUAACGUAGCUAACGCGUGAAAGUUGACCGCCUGGGGAGUACGGCCGCAAGGUUGAAACUUAAAUGAAUUGACGGGGUCAUAGC